GGAGGAGCAGACCUGCUGUCUGCAGUGUGUUGCAGGCAAGACCGACCUCUGCAGGACAAAGUAGGGCAAGUCUGAAGAAAAUUAGGCUGGAUGUAUCUUGUAGUGGUACCACUAAAAAGCGCUCUGGAUGAAAAAGUUGCCUUUACUGUUUUAAUGGCCGUUCUGGUUCUUUUCCUUCUAAUUACUUGCCAGCACCAGAGCAUAUUGUUCUUGUAGUCAUCACUGCAGAUUCUUUGGAGACCCCAAAACAGCUGAACAAAAGCUCCUAAGCUUAACAAUUUGCUCAGUGAGCAGUGGAACUUGUGAAUCCAGGCUUCCUGUGCCCCUGCAGUGUGGGUGCUUUGGUGGCCAAUAACACAAAUGUCUCUGAAAGUGGCUGCACACGUGGGCUCUCUGGUGGCUGAUAAAAAGAGCCACACCUGGCAACAAAGGCAGACUGAUUCUGGUUUGGAUGUCCUGUUUCUGGAACUCUGCAGAGUUUUAGGACUUGCCUCUUGAAUGGCCAGGCAGAUCUUAAGUCCUUGCUAUUAUUUCUUCUUCACUAUCCCUCUUGCUGUCUGUUAUUGUUCUUGCUCUUGCCAUUGCUGAAGCUGCAUGACCUGGAAGAGCAAGACAAGCUCUCUCCCCCAAAGGUCUGCUUGUUUCCACUUCACAUUAUAUUCAUGUUAUGGCCAUCAGCACAUUGCAUUCGUGCUCCUACAUCUGCACUGUGCCAUGGGAGGUAGCUAAGAAAGAACUUGUGCACAAAAUACUAUUUUGGGAAGAAGUUUUACUUCAGGUAGAACAAAAAUGACAAAAUCUGAGCACACGUAUUUCCCCUUCCAUAGGCAUUAUUCUGGAGUUAGAAAUCAGGAAAGCCAACAGUGCUGUGGUUGGUGAUCUGAUGACACCUGCCCUGCCAUAACCAAUGCAAUGGAGGAACACAGCAGUGCAAUGGCCACCAUUACCUACAAUAUUCCUCAUAUUCCUGCUUUAUCCUUUUACUUAAAAUUUAAUUACAGUCUUAGUUACUAUUCUGUAGUCUCUGUGCUGCAGAAACACACUGGAAUUGAUAAAAAUGCCUAUAUUUUUUGACCAAGGCAAACUACUUAAGUAAUUGAUUUGGAGCAGGAUUUUGUUUGAUUAUACCCCAGUCACAGGACUCUUGAGCUGCUUCAGUUCCCUGCUUGCUUCCAGGAGGCUUUCAUUUUCAAUAAGGUCAGUCUCUGCUGCCCAGCCAUCUGGCUUUGAGCUCUUCAGCAUUUUCCUCCUAAUCCCCUUCUUAUGCAAGCCCAGAAUAAAGGAGUUUCUUCCAGCUCUAGAUUAAGUAGUAGCUGGAUUUUUCUCUCCAGGUUGCCAAAACUGCCACAGUUCAUCACAGGAAACAGUCCAGCUCCACAUUCUGACCUGCUGGACCUUGGUUGAGGUAUUUGGCCUGCAGGUCCUACUGCAGGAGGAGUGUGUGGGGGAAAAUGAAAUUACAUCUGCAAAGUUGAUCACAGAAAUCGAAGUUUGCUUUGCUGAAGACACAGAACUUUUGCUAUUUCAUCAGAAAGUUUAAACCAGAACUACUGAAAUGUCUCUAGGUGGAAGUGGCUACAGUGCAGUCAUCUGCACUGUGCUAAUAUUCUGCAUUUCUUUACAGUCCAUGGAGGGAAAGGCAUAUGGAGAUUGUGAUUUAUCUCAUUCAAGAUGUCUGAAGUAAUUCACAUCAGCUCGACCUCGAAGUGAUGUAGCUCAUCUUCAGUCUCUCCAGCAAUUAAAGGGAGCUUUAAGUGGUUACAAAGCAGACCUCUAAGUGCAAAAUCCUUUCUAAGUCCUUAGAGAAUUAAGAUGUCUUGAAAGUCUGAACUUUGUU